GUUUAUGAAUUGGGUUGUUUAGUGAAUAAAAUAUUGCUAGAUUGAGUUUAAAUAAGGGCGAAAGUAACAUGAGAGAGUUCUCUUCAUCGACUCUCUCUUCUGCAAAUUAAAGUGACAAGAUGCAAAUUCAAUCAAACUUUUUUACACUUAGACGCUAGAUUGCAUCGCAACCUAGCGAUUCAUGACCAAAAAGUUUAACCAUACUUGCUUCUUGUCACUUUAAUUUGGAGAAGAAAGAGUCGAUGAAGAGAACUCUCUCAUGUUACUUUCGCCCUUAUUUAAACUCAAUCUAGAUUGCUAUUUUCUAUAGCCUAAUCGAAAGAGCUCAUUUUUCUGAGUAUAACGUGAUUUUAUUGGUUUGAUGGUUAAAUUAACAAAACAGUUUUCAUUUUUGUGGAUAGAAUGACAGUUUGAUCGAUAAAGUGACAGUUCAGCCCAAACAAAAAAAAAAUCCCUUACAAACUUUAAAUGCAUUUUAAAAACAGUUCCCGGAUUCCAAAAAUUAUGAAAUUUUGGACUUCGACUAAUUGUAGGGCGGAGAAUCCGAUUUUGAAAUAAUCCGGAUGCCCCUAAAGAACCCAAUUCACCAGGAUCAAAAUGCAAGCACACAACGCUUUCACAGGUAGACAAAUUCAAGAUUGCCGCAGAAGCGGAAAGUGGUGUAAGCAAAGUCCAAAUAAAGUCGUUCAACUCCCAUACAUUAGUAUGAAAUUUCUGGGUUCAUGAAGUACUAGAUCAAAAAACUGCAAUACCUUUUGUAUAAAGUUACCUUGUACUCCGCUGACGUUGCUAUGAGUAACAAACUACUGUUUAUAAAAGUAUAAACAAGAAAAUUUGCGACUGAUGGAAAAAUUAAACUUUUGAAUUUGUAAGGUGGACGAAGGGUUCCAAAUACGUGCACUUUGGACGACAUAUCAGGACUUCAGCAUGUGAUUUCUUCCCAUUUGUUCCCGCUUCUGCUGCUGAGUGAUCUUAGAGUUAAAUCAUCAAGUUUUAAAAUGUCCUCUAUGUUUUCUCCUGUUAACCUAUCUGGAAGUUUACCCAGAAUUACACCAAGAUAACCCUCAGUACGACCCGAAAUUGCCCGGAUACGAGAAAAAAUCCCGACAGAAUGCUGUGCUAUGCAACUUUUUGAAAUGCGCGCAGUUUAGGCACACAAACCAUGUUGAUAGUGCCGUGUUCUACUAAAUUAAAAAUGAAUUAAAUGUUAAUUGAUUAAAACAUUUAAGUAGAAAAUAGGAGUGA